rnacentral:rRNA from 1 species
GACGGAGGGGGCUAGCGUUGUUCGGAAUUACUGGGCGUAAAGCGCGCGUAGGCGGCCUGUCAAGUUGGGGGUGAAAGCCCGGAGCUCAACUCCGGAACUGCCUUCAAAACUGACAAGCUAGAGUUCGGAAGAGGAGAGUGGAAUACCCAGUGUAGAGGUGGAAUUCGUAGAUAUUGGGUAGAACACCAGUGGCGAAGGCGACUCUCUGGUCCGAUACUGACGCUGAGGUGCGAAAGCGUGGGGAGCAAACAGG